GGGAGAACAGCAAGUGUUACAACUUCCUUCCCAGCCCACCGCCGGCCCGGCGGCCGGGGACGCGGCGAGGGGAGGGAAGCGCGCCGAGCGCCAAUGAGUUCACUUUCUUUUUCUCCCCCGCGCUCCCCCUCUCCCUUCCCGCCGGCCCCCUCCUGCCUCCUCCGCGGCUGGCGACGCCUGCCCGGACUUUUCGGGGCCCGGGCCGGUAGCGGGAGGAUGGAGGAUGGAGGAGGAGGAGGCGAGGGGGAAGGAGGAGGAGGAAAGAACUGUUUCUCCUCUGUGAGGCCACUCUGCCUUGCCAUCACUCAGCUAUGGACUGAAACCUCUACAAACGUACUUGGCUACUGAAGCUCCAGAUGCUAGAGUUGGCUUUGGAAAUGAACCCUGAGGUUUCUGGGCUUACUAUCAAGACAGAAGCUAGUGCACUGGCUAAAGAGAAGUGGAAGGAGUUCUGAAGUUUGAGCCGCAGAGGGAAACAGCAACGCAAAAUCCCAGAAGCAAUUCCCAAGGCAUGUUCUUUGGAGGAACCAGGAGCCAAAACAGUUGGUGGUGAGCAGACACAGUGGGAAGUCCAAAAUGCUAAGGGAAGAUGAAGCACAGAGGAAGACGGACCAAAAGGACACCCAGACUGAUUGGAGAUCAAAAGGCAUUAUGCCAGAUAAGGAAGAGAAAGUGGCUCUAAAAUCAAGAAUUUGUGGAGGGGAUGAGGGUCCCUUCCAGUACUUACUUGAAAUUUAGAAAAACAACGGAACCCAAAAGUGAUUCUCCUGGAGUUCCGCAUUUUAAAUGUGUCCACUGCUCACAAAGACCUGUGGCCUCUUCUCAAGGAGAACAAACCAAGGGAUCAAGAAUCAAAUACAGAAGCGUGGCUCUGAUGAAGUAAAUUUUCACUCUUCUGACAGUAUGUAAUCACUGUGACCUGAUUAGUAUUGUAAAUGAAUAUACAUUGAUAGUUUUGUAAUAAAAUUUUAUUAGACUAAACCAGUAUCAGGAAAUAUUUA